AAUGAUACUUCCCUACGGGGCCGGCGGAGAACCGGGCAGAGGUGAAACUCCUAUGA
rnacentral:ncRNA from 1 species